rnacentral:lncRNA from 1 species
AAUAAAAUUGCAUAAAGAAGAAAAAUACUGAGCACAAAAGACAAGAUAACAUUGAUCGCAAGCGGGAGAUAAAAACACAUUAUUUUUCCAUGCUAAAAUUACCUAAUAAAGAAGGCGUAACCACAUCACUAGAAUCUAAGAUAAUUCAGGUAUGUAGAAAUAUACCUUAUCCGAAAUUACUAAUAUUGUUCUUGAUUAUUUUUCAGGUAUUUAUUCUUCCUCAAACUGAAGCAAUUUUAGAACUGUCUUGCAUGGUUUGAAUCCUCGCCACUCAGAGCUGGAUGAUGCUAACCUUAUAACACCUAUCUCUAGAGAAGAAAUCAAAAGAGC